rnacentral:tRNA from 1 species
GCGGAUGUGGCGUAAUGGCAGCCGCGCCAGACUUAGGAUCUGGUGCCGCAAGGCGUGGGGGUUCGAGUCCCUCCAUCCGCACCA